UUGCAAGCAAUAAAACCAUUUAGUUGACGCUUUAUCAAUUCAGUUGUGCUCCUGUUUUAGGUUCUAGAAUGUACUACGAGGAGAAAAAAUUAAUCGAGAAUGACUCUUUACAUAUCCUGAAAUUUCUAGCCUCGGAUAUUUUUCAGAUGAAAAUAACAAAAAUACUCCUUGUUGUGGUUUUAUUUAUACAGGGUUCCAUCAACUUAAUUACAACUUACUUCGUUGUUAAUAUUUUCACAGUUGAAGAAUUUAUUAAUUACUCACCUGUUUAUUUCGGAUGUACGCAUGUAAAUAGUUCCGCGUCAGAAAUGGACACAUCAACCAAACAAAAUUUUUUUUAGUUAAUAGUCGCUACGUUGAUUCUUUUAUUCAAAAGCGACUUAGUUGCCAACAUUGAAACGGAAAUUCCACUUUGGUCAAAUGAAAGCAGUGGGAAUGAAAUCAAAUCGCGACUAGAACUGGAGGCAAAACUGACCAAUUACAUUGCUCUGGUCAAUUAUCUAGUUACGAUUUUUUCAACUUUUCUGCACAUUAUUCGUUUGCCCGACGACCCGAAUCUUUUUUUGGGACUCCGACUUAUUGAAACAUAUUUUCACGAUAAUUACAGAAAGGUUGCCAAAGUCAUAAUGUACUCUUUAUACCCUUUAAUCGGCCACAUUCUUACCGCCCAUGUGUACCAAGUCGUUUAUUACGCACAACACAUCAAAUUUCAAGUGAUUAUGUUUAAAGAACACAUCGCCAAAUUGGCCGAUUUCGCAGCUGAAAACGACCAAGAAUAUCAAGAAAAAAUUAACCAUCGACUUAAAUUUUGCAUAAAAAGGUUGCAGGACUUCGUGGCGUAAAAAAACACUCUUUGUACAUUGGCGGUCAGCUCGAUUUGCGUGUGCGUCAUCAAUUUCAUUUUUUCAUUACCAACACAAAGCUGUGAAAAAAUUAUCAAAAACAAUGCAAAUUUAAACAACUAAGGGGUAUCUAAGGGUGGUAUCCUUGAACAUUAAUUUACAUGUGCACUUCGACAAAACCGUCAAGUGUUACGAAUUUGUCAACCUGACAUUGACAGUAAAUUAUAGUCGUUGUCGCAUGGUUGUCGAAAGUGUUAUCGGAGUUAAUCGCAAGUAUUUUCCGUUCGUUUAUUGUGUUUUGUAAUUUGCGUUUCGUUAGGUUUUUGAUUCUGCGUUUAUUAGUUCUUGUUUUGUGAAUCUGUAUUUUUGUAACAAAUCAUAAUUUAAACACUUCGUAACCUCAAAAAAUAUUUGAUAGUUUGUCACCGCUAUGACCCUGCUAUGUAAACGUAGUGACAGAAAUGUCAGAUGACGCACACGCAAAUGGAGCUGAGCGCUACCAUAGUAACAAACACUAAAUCAAGAUUUUAGAGUUCACGAAAUGAAGAUGGAGCAAGUGAAAAACAUGAUUGCAGUUUUUGCGGUUUCGUGUACUUGUUUAGGCAUUAGCAUCUUUUUUUUCGUUUUAUCGAAAAGUUUUGGGCAACAGUAUUACCUACGCAUGGCUAUAACUAUUAUUGCGGCUUGUGCGUCAUUUGUAGCCGUAAUAUGGACGUGUCAGUCAUUAGAAAAUGAGAAUGACGAAGCAACGGGCGAUUUAAUUCAAGCCCCUUGGUAUAAUUUUAAUAAGAAAAACACACUACUUUAUUUAAUUUUCAUACAAAAUGCAAUGAAACCACGGAGGAUUCAGUUUUCGGAUGAUUUGUCCAUCAACUACGAAGGGGGUCUUAGAGUUUGUACUUAAUCAUUGUUGAUAUUUAAUAAUCGUCAUUUUAAAGGUUGUUAGAGGGAUUUAUUCGGUUUUGUCGGUUGCUGUAAGUAUGUCGAAGUAAUAAUUCAGUGUCAUCACUCCAUAAAAAUAUACUGCAUGUAGUUUGAAAAUUUCUCACCUUUUCCAAUAGUAGUCCAGAAUGUAUGAGAUUAGUUUCAGCAAGUAUUAAAAAUAGUAUUUUUAAUUAGGCAAUUGUAUUUAAGAAAGUAUCAAAUGUAUUUCAAAAUGUAUCACUUGUAGUUCAGAAACUUACAACAAAAAAUGUGGUGAAUAAAUUGUGAAAAAAAACUCAA